rfam:Gossypium raimondii Chr04_contig_29, whole genome shotgun sequence.
UGUUAAAAUUUUUUAUCUAUUUCUACUAAUAAAAAUUGAUGUGUUUGAUGGAAUAAUUAGAUAGUUCUACGUGGCGUGCUACGUGUAUCUCAUGCUGACGUAUAGGGUCUAUUUUUUAACAGUAGAAAUGGAUAGAAUUUUUAACA